rnacentral:tRNA from 1 species
GCCGGGAUGGCAGAAUCCGGUAAAUGCGCCUGCCUCGAGAGCAGGUUCUCCUUUACGGAGAGUGGGAGUUCAAAACGCCGACACGACCGGCUUCAGGAUGUUGAGGUAAUGAGAGUCUCCCUCCCGGCG